UAGAAUAACAGUUUCAAAUGCAGUUCUAUGGUUAGGCCAUAGCAUUUCACAUCUGACUUGCUAUCCCGCCUGCGCACUCUUUACGCCCAGUGAUUCCGAGUAACGCUUGCACCCUCCGUAUUACCGCGGCUGCUGGCACGGAGUUAGCCGGUGCUUAUUCGUUAGAUACCGUCAUAAUCUUCUCUAACAAAAGGAGUUUACAAUCCUAAAACCUUCAUCCUCCACGCGGCGUUGCUGCUUCAGGGUUUCCCCCAUUGAGCAAUAUUCCCUACUGCUGCCUCCCGUAGGAGUCUGGACCGUGUCUCAGUUCCAGUGUGUCCGUUCACCCUCUCAGGCCGGAUACCCGUC
rnacentral:rRNA from 1 species